UGCGACAUAGUAUAAAGGUAAUACGCUUGACCGAUAAUCGAGUAAUAUGAGUUCAAGUCUCUUUGUCGCAACCA
rnacentral:tRNA from 1 species